GACGAACGCUGGCGGCGUGCUUAACACAUGCAAGUCGAACGAAGUGGCGAACGGGUGAGUAACGCGUAAUCCACCUGCCCUUCAGAGGGGGACAACAGUUGGAAACGACUGCUAAUACCGCAUACUGAAGGAGGGGAUUGCGUCUGUUUAGCUAUUUGGAGGGGUAACGGCCUACCAAGGCGAUGAUCACUAGCGGGUCUGAGAGGAUGAACUGCCACAUUGGGACUGAUACACGGCCCAGACUGCUACGGGAGGCAGCAGUUGGGAAUCAUCCGCAAUGGACGAAAGUCUGACGGAGCAACGCCGCGUGAGUGAUGACGGCCUUCGGGUUGUAAAGCUCUGUGAAUCGGGACGCGGUACCGGAAUAGAAAGACACGGCUAACUACGUGCCAGCAGCCGCGGUAAUUC
rnacentral:rRNA from 1 species